rnacentral:rRNA from 1 species
GAAUUGAAGCCCCAGUAAACGGCGGCCGUAACUAUAACGGUCCUAAGGUAGCGAAAUUCCUUGUCGGGUAAGUUCCGACCCGCACGAAAGGUGUAACGAUUUGGGCACUGUCUCAACGAGGGACCCGGUGAAAUUGAAGUACCUGUGAAGAUGCAGGUUACCCGCGACUGGACAGAAAGACCCCAUGGAGCUUUACUGUAACCUGAGAUUGGAUUCCGGUAAGAGAUGUACAGGAUAGUUGGGAGACGUAGAAGCAAGUACGCCAGUAUUUGCAGAGUCAAUGGUGGGAUACCAACCUUGUUUUAUUGGAAUUCUAACGAGAAGCCUAACAAGCUUGCGGACAGUCUCAGGCGGGCAGUUUGACUGGGGCGGUCGCCUCCGAAAGAGUAACGGAGGCGCCCAAAGGUUCCCUCAGCGCGGACGGAAACCGCGCGAAGAGUGCAAAGGCAGAAGGGAGCUUGACUGCGAGACGGACAGGUCGAGCAGGGACGAAAGUCGGGCUUAGUGAUCCGGUGGUAGAGAGUGGAAUUGCCAUCGCUCAACGGAUAAAAGCUACCCUGGGGAUAACAGGCUUAUCUCUCCCAAGAGUCCAUAUCGACGGGGAGGUUUGGCACCUCGAUGUCGGCUCAUCACAUCCUGGGGCUGAAGUAGGUCCCAAGGGUUGGGCUGUUCGCCCAUUAAAGUGGUACGCGAGCUGGGUUCAGAACGUCGUGAGACAGUUCGGUCCCUAUCCAUCGCGGGCGGAAGAAACUUGAAAGGGGCUGCUCCUAGUACGAGAGGACCGGAGUGGACCGACCAAUGGUGUACCAGUCAUGGCGCCAGCCGUGCAGCUGGGUAGCUACGUCGGGGACGGAUAAACGCUGAAAGCAUCUAAGCGUGAAACCAGCCUAAAGAUGAGGUUUCUCAUUGUGAAAACAAGUAAGGUCCCACAAAGACGAUGUGGUUGAUAGGCCGGGAGUGGAAGUACAGCGAUGUAUGGAGCGGACCGGUACUAAUAGACCGAGGACUUGACU